rnacentral:rRNA from 1 species
GACGAACGCUGGCGGCGUGCUUAACACAUGCAAGUCGAGCGGAGCGGGAACGGGUGAGUAACACGUGGGUAACCUCCCAUCAGAGGGGAUAACACUUGGAAACAGGUGCUAAACCGAUACUGAUGGAUGGACCCGCGGUGCAUUAGCUAGUUGGUGAGGUAACGGCUCACCAAGGCCACGAUGCAUAGCCGACCUGAGAGGGUGAUCGUGCACACUGGGACUGGUACACGGCCCAGACUCCUACGGGAGGCAGCCGUAGGGAAUCUUUGGAAAUGGACGAAAGUCUGACCGAGCAAAGCCGCGUGAGUGAAGAAGGUUUUCGGAUCGUAAAGCUCUGUUGUUAAGGAAGCGGUACUUAACCAGAAAGGGACGGCUAACUACGUGCCAGCCGCCGCGGUAAUAC